rnacentral:tRNA from 1 species
GCGGGUAUGGUUCAGUGGCAGAGCACAUGCUUAGCAUGCACAAGGUCCUGAGUUCAAUCCCCAGCACCUCCA